rnacentral:misc_RNA from 1 species
GAUUUUGUUUCUGUAUCUUUUAUGUUCUUGUUGUUCUACAUCAGUUGGUUAGUGGUCUCCUUUAUGUAGAUCAUUUUACAUGCUUGUAGACUCGAGUGUUUGAAAAAGCUUGUCUUUCAGCUUCAAACAUUAUCUACGUGUUUUCUUUUGUAUAUUUGUCAGGAUAAACACAAUUAAUUUUUGUGUUAUAGAUGAGUCUGAAUUUGUAACGUUACAUGGUAAACUGUGAAUUCCUUUUAUCUCGGCCUCCCAUGGGGAGCAGGAUGGGAACUGAAAGUUCAAAAUUUGGUGGAUUCAUUUUAAAAUUAUUUUAUGGAAAGUUUAGCAAGUAUGGAAUUAUACUGUGGUGGUCUGAUAUAUGAGCAUGGAUUUUGCUUUUUAAUAUGUAUUGUGCAGCUUCCUUUUCCAUGGUUGAGUUGUAAUUUAAUUUGUUUGAACUACUUAUGUUUUUGGUUAGAACUGGAUGAUGAAGAUGUUGGUUUAUUUAUUAUUUUCUGUUGCAGGCAAUUUAAACCGGAAGAACUAAAGCACAGGGAUGCUGUGAUAGAACAGAGGUCUAAAUCAAUUUCUUCAAGAGAGGCUAAUAAUUUGCCAGGGGCAUCAGAUAGAGCUUCCAAAUACAGAUCUGCUGAGAAGCCUACCAAAGUGGAUGAUGGCCAUAUUGGGGAAUUGUCUUUGGAAAGAUCUUCAAGAUCUAAAGCUUCACCCAUGGGCCUGGUGGAUAGAUCU